UUAAGCGACUAAGCGUACACGGUGGAUGCCCUGGCAGUCAGAGGCGAUGAAGGACGUGCUAAUCUGCGAAAAGCGUCGGUAAGGUGAUAUGAACCGUUAUAGCCGGCGAUGUCCGAAUGGGGGAAACCCAGUGCAAUUCGUUGCACUAUCGUUUGAUGAAUACAUAGUCAAACGAGGCGAACCGGGGGAACUGAAACAUCUAAGUACCCCGAGGAAAAGAAAUCAACCGAGAUUCCCCCAGUAGCGGCGAGCGAACGGGGAGCAGCCCGGAGUCUGAAUCAGCUUGUGUGUUAGUGGAAGCGUCUGGAAAGUCGCAGGGUACAGGGUGAUACUCCCGUACACUAAAGCACACAGGUUGUGAACUCGAAGAGUAGGGCGGGACACGUGGUAUCCUGUCUGAAUAUGGGGGGACCAUCCUCCAAGGCUAAAUACUCCUGACUGACCGAUAGUGAACCAGUACCGUGAGGGAAAGGCGAAAAGAACCCCGGCGAGGGGAGUGAAAAAGAACCUGAAACCGUGUACGUACAAGCAGUAGGAGCCUCUUUAUGGGGUGACUGCGUACCUUUUGUAUAAUGGGUCAGCGACUUAUAUUCUGUAGCAAGGUUAACCGUAUAGGGGAGCCGCAGGGAAACCGAGUCUUAACUGGGCGUUAAGUUGCAGGGUAUAGACCCGAAACCCGGUGAUCUAGCCAUGGGCAGGUUGAAGGUUGGGUAACACUAACUGGAGGACCGAACCGACUAAUGUUGAAAAAUUAGCGGAUGACUUGUGGCUGGGGGUGAAAGGCCAAUCAAACCGGGAGAUAGCUGGUUCUCCCCGAAAGCUAUUUAGGUAGCGCCUCGUGAACUCAUCUUCGGGGGUAGAGCACUGUUUCGGCUAGGGGGUCAUCCCGACUUACCAACCCGAUGCAAACUACGAAUACCGAAGAAUGUUAUCACGGGAGACACACGGCGGGUGCUAACGUCCGUCGUGAAGAGGGAAACAACCCAGACCGCCAGCUAAGGUCCCAAAGUCAUGGUUAAGUGGGAAACGAUGUGGGAAGGCCCAGACAGCCAGGAUGUUGGCUUAGAAGCAGCCAUCAUUUAAAGAAAGCGUAAUAGCUCACUGGUCGAGUCGGCCUGCGCGGAAGAUGUAACGGGGCUAAACCAUGCACCGAAGCUGCGGCAGCGACACUAUGUGUUGUUGGGUAGGGGAGCGUUCUGUAAGCCGUUGAAGGUGGCCUGUGAGGGUUGCUGGAGGUAUCAGAAGUGCGAAUGCUGACAUAAGUAACGAUAAUGCGGGUGAAAAACCCGCACGCCGGAAGACCAAGGGUUCCUGUCCAACGUUAAUCGGGGCAGGGUGAGUCGACCCCUAAGGCGAGGCCGAAAGGCGUAGUCGAUGGGAAACAGGUUAAUAUUCCUGUACUCGGUGUUACUGCGAAGGGGGGACGGAGAAGGCUAUGUUGGCCGGGCGACGGUUGUCCCGGUUUAAGCAUGUAGGCGGAUGUUCCAGGUAAAUCCGGAACGUUACUAACGCUGAGGUGUGAUGACGAGGCACUACGGUGCUGAAGUGACAAAUGCCCUGCUUCCAGGAAAAGCCUCUAAGCAUCAGGUAACAUCAAAUCGUACCCCAAACCGACACAGGUGGUCAGGUAGAGAAUACCAAGGCGCUUGAGAGAACUCGGGUGAAGGAACUAGGCAAAAUGGUGCCGUAACUUCGGGAGAAGGCACGCUGAUAUGUAGGUGAAGUGGUUUACCCAUGGAGCUGAAAUCAGUCGAAGAUACCAGCUGGCUGCAACUGUUUAUUAAAAACACAGCACUGUGCAAACACGAAAGUGGACGUAUACGGUGUGACGCCUGCCCGGUGCCGGAAGGUUAAUUGAUGGGGUUAUCCGUAAGGAGAAGCUCUUGAUCGAAGCCCCGGUAAACGGCGGCCGUAACUAUAACGGUCCUAAGGUAGCGAAAUUCCUUGUCGGGUAAGUUCCGACCUGCACGAAUGGCGUAAUGAUGGCCAGGCUGUCUCCACCCGAGACUCAGUGAAAUUGAACUCGCUGUGAAGAUGCAGUGUACCCGCGGCAAGACGGAAAGACCCCGUGAACCUUUACUAUAGCUUGACACUGAACACUGGUCCUUGAUGUGUAGGAUAGGUGGGAGGCUUUGAAGUGUGGACGCCAGUCUGCAUGGAGCCAUCCUUGAAAUACCACCCUUUAAUGGCUGGUGUUCUAACGUGGGCCCCUAAUCGGGGUUGCGGACAGUGUCUGGUGGGUAGUUUGACUGGGGCGGUCUCCUCCUAAAGAGUAACGGAGGAGCACGAAGGUCAGCUAAUCCUGGUCGGACAUCAGGAGGUUAGUGCAAUGGCAUAAGCUGGCUUGACUGCGAGCGUGACGGCGCGAGCAGGUGCGAAAGCAGGUCAUAGUGAUCCGGUGGUUCUGAAUGGAAGGGCCAUCGCUCAACGGAUAAAAGGUACUCCGGGGAUAACAGGCUGAUACCGCCCAAGAGUUCAUAUCGACGGCGGUGUUUGGCACCUCGAUGUCGGCUCAUCACAUCCUGGGGCUGAAGUAGGUCCCAAGGGUAUGGCUGUUCGCCAUUUAAAGUGGUACGCGAGCUGGGUUUAGAACGUCGUGAGACAGUUCGGUCCCUAUCUGCCGUGGGCGCUGGAGAAUUGAGGGGGGCUGCUCCUAGUACGAGAGGACCGGAGUGGACGCAUCACUGGUGUUCGGGUUGUCAUGCCAAUGGCAUUGCCCGGUAGCUAAAUGCGGAAGAGAUAAGUGCUGAAAGCAUCUAAGCACGAAACUUGCCCCGAGAUGAGUUCUCCCUGACUCCUUGAGAGUCCUGAAGGAACGUUGAAGACGACGACGUUGAUAGGCCGGGUGUGUAAGCGCAGCGAUGCGUUGAGCUAACCGGUACUAAUGAACCGUGAGGCUUAACCUU
rnacentral:rRNA from 1 species